rnacentral:misc_RNA from 1 species
AAGUCGUAACAAGGUUUCCGUAGGUGAACCUGCGGAAGGAUCAUUAACACAUCCUUUAAACAAUAUUAACGUUGGUGUACCAAAAGAACCCACUUCAGCAGAUGUCGAUCAUGUUAUGGUUUGAAGUCUAUAAAGGCUUGGCUGAUCGGCCCGCAAACCGCCCUUUUUCUAUUUUGAGAAUGUAGGCGAGAGUAAGUCUGACUGUUUUAGGGUAUACAGCCUCUUACCAUGGCUGGCAUUUUUUUUUAACUAUGUACUAUGCACUUAUUUGGGUUCAGAUCGAGAAGGGCAACCUUUUCUUUGAGCUCAGGGUCAAUGGUUCAUUCCAUUGAUUUUAACAAAACACAACUCUUAACAGCGGAUAUCUCGGUUCUC